UCAUGAUCCAUUUUGCUGUCUUCUUUUGAUUUAUGAGUGAGUUCAUUCUAUUUGCAUUCAGUUAUAAUUGUUAGUUGUGUCUUUCUCCCAUUCUAUUCUCUUAUAUUUUUACUUCUCUCUUUCCCACUCCCUCUUAAAGAAUUAUUUUUAUUUCUAAUUUUUCCUUUAAUCUACCCUCCCUUGCAUUUAGUUUUAUUGUCUCCUUUUCCCCUGUUAAGUGAAAUGUAUUUUUGUACCCAACUAUGUGUGUGUAAAGAUAUAUUUUUCUUUUUCUUUUCUUUUUUUACAGUUCAGAUGAGGUUCAAGGGUUAUUCAUUCCCUUUCUAUUCCUUCCUUCUGAACGAGUAUGAAUUUCUAUUUUGAACCCCACAUACGUAAGAUAAAUUCUCCCAUCCUUCUCAGUGCAUUCCUUUUCCAGUAUUCUUCUAUUAUUUUAAGAUCAUCAAAGCAUUAUAAAAUGACUCAAAACACCUCUAAUUAGAUUCCCCUCUGUGAUCUCUGAUGAUAAAAAGAAUUCAAAGAAGACAAAGAUAUCAUCUUCCCGUUUUAGAAUGUUUAUUUUACUUGGUAAAUUAUAAUUGCUUACUUAUAUCUACCUUUUCAUUUCCCUCUUGACUCCUGUAUUUGCUAUUCAAAGAUUCUCUGAAGUUCUGUUCUUUUUAUCUGAUACACUUAAGAGUUAUCUUUUUAUAAAAAGGUUCAUUUACCUUUCUAAUCCAACCCUGUAGAAUUGUAUUCAGUUUUGCUGGGUAAAUUAUUCUUGCUUGUAAGACUAGGUGGUGUUUUUUUUUUUGUUUGUUUGUUUUUGUUUUUGUUUUUGCUUUCUGGAACAUCAUAUUUCAAGCCCCAAAGUCUUUAUAAUGGUGGCUGCCAAAUUUUGUGUGAUCUUGCUCAUGGUUGGUACUUGAAUUCUUCCUAUCUGUUUACUUUCAAUGAUUUUUUUAAAAUAACUUUGAUUGCUCUGGUUGUAAUUUUCUGGAUGUUCUCAUUUUGAGAUUUAUUUCAGAAAAUGACUAUUGGACUCUUUCUAUUUCUGCUUUGUCCUCUGGCUCUAGGAGUUCUCAACAAGAUUCCUUUUUUUUUUUUUUUUUUCAUUUUAUUAUUUAUUUAUUUUUAAAUAGCUUUUUUAUUUAGAAGUUAUAUGCAUGGGUAAUUUUUCAGCAUUGACAGUUGCAAAUCCUUUAGUUCCACCUUUUUACCUCCUUCCCUUCACCCCUUCCCUCAGAUGGCAGGUUGACCAAUACAUGUCAAAUAUGUUAAAGUAUAAGUUAAAUAAAAUAUAUGUAUACAUGUCCAAACAGUUAUUUUGCUAUAUAAAAAGAGACGGACUUUGAAAUAAUAUACAAUUAGCCUGUGACGGAAAUAAAAAAUGCAGGCAGACAAAAAAUAGAGGGAUUGGGAAUGCUAUGUAGUGGUUCAUAGUCAUCUCCCAGAGUUCUUUCCCUGAGUGUAGCUGGUUCAGUUCAUUACUGCUCUAUUAGAACUGAUUUGGUUCAUCUCAUUAUUGAAGUGGACCAUGUCUAUCAGAAUUGAUCAUCAUAUAGUAUUAUUGUUGAAGUAUAUAAUGAUCUUCUGGUCCUGCUCAUUUCACUUAGCAUCAGCAAGAUUUCUUUUUAAAUACUUUCUUGAAAUGUAAUACUUAGGCUCAUUUUUUUGACUAUAGUUUUGAAUUAGUAAAGUGAUUCAUAAGUUAAUCUCUCAGUCUUUUUUCUAGGUCAAUUGUUUUUGUAUGAAAUGCCUUAAGUUUUCUUUUAUUUUUUUUCUUUCUUUUGAUAUUGUUUUACUAUUUUUUUUCUUUUUUGCUGAUGAAUUGGGGUUAAGUGAUUUGCCCAGGGUCACACAGUUAGAAAGUGUUAAGUAUUUGAGGUCAGAUUUAACCUCAGGUCCUCCUCACUUCAGGGAUGAUGGGCUUUAUCCACUGCACCACCUAGCUGCCCCGUGUGUUUACUAAUUCUUAAUAACUUGAAUCAUUAGCUUCAAUUUGGCCAGUUAUAAUUUUUUUACACUUAUUUUCUUUGGUGAGGUUUUAUACCUCUUGUUUCAUCUGUGGUCAGAGCCACAGAGCUGCUAUUUGCUUCUGAAUUUGUUUCUUAUUCAGUAUACAAUUAAGGCCUAUAUGGCUGCUUUCUCUCACUGAAUCUAGAUGCAGGUUCACUCCUCAAUGGCACUGGAUUUGUGACCCAGAAUUAGACAGUGACAGAACUGCUAGAUGAUACCUGUUCCCACAAUCUCUGGGCCCUCUUACUACCCUAUUACGCUCUGCUCCAGUUUACAGUAUACUCCUAUUUCAAUUCCUGGACCCUGGAAUACUUGUAUGUUGUGCUUCUGGUCAGAUGUCUCCAAUGUCUAUAGAUCUUUCUGUGUCCCAAAAAAAGUGAAUCAUCAUGAUAUUUUUCUUGGAUUUUCAGAUCAAGAUUCAAUCUGGUGCAUUUUCUAGAUUUUUAUGGAAGAACUUUAUGAGUCUUCUUGCUACAUCUUGAUUCUGCCUUCAGCACUUUUUUAAAUAGAAGGAGGAAUCAGUCUAAAAAUCAGAAUUAGAGUUAUAAAUCCACCAAGUAUCUGCAUGAGAAUAUUACAGUAGGGGAGCUGCAAAACCAACCAGAGUAGUAUACAAUAUUUCAGCAAUACAUCAGGGACACAAGGCGGUCUUCAAGGAGGUUUUAUUCUAUCUGAGAAACAUACACAUAAAUAGUUGCAUAUCCAUAGAUGUGAAAUAAAUACGAGGUCAUCUGUGGGGAAUGAGAACUAGCAGCUAGGAUAAUCAAAAAAAGCUUCAUACAGAAGAUGGGACUUAAAGUCUUAAGCAUUUCUAAGAGGCAUAGACAGAGAUAAAUCAUGGAGGCAGGAAUUAGAGGGCCUUGUAUGUGAAAAAGUAAGAUCCAUUUAGGGGGCAAUAAUUCUUAAUAAAACUAUACAAGUAGGUAGGAGAUACAAUAUAAAGCAAUUUAAAUAUCACUUAGCCACAGUCUCCAAGUCAACUAUUCCCCAUUCCUUCACAAAAUGGGGAUUAUGAUUCAUGACUGCAUGGUCUUCAGUCUUCUCACAUCCAUCCCAGACACCCUUCUACCUCACCAAGGAAUUUGAGACAGUUACUCUCAAUCUGGUUGAACUUAUCUAUGAAGAUGAUUUUGCAGGGUGUGACCACUGAGCAUGCUACAGUUUCUUGGAGCUACAGGUGAGAACUGAGUGCCAGGUGGACACCAAAGAUGAAUGAGCAGCCCUGAAGAGAGCUUGAGUCCAUUGACUACAUGCCUAACAGGACUUGAUGAUAAAUGCAUUAUCCAGUAAAUCAAGCAUCCAGGUCCUUUGGAACCCUCCACUCUGAAUGGACAUCAUCAAUAUUGAGAAAUAACUAUCAUUCAUGGUGACUAUAAAGUCCUGUUGAAGAAGGAGGCAAAACAAUAGACUGGAACUGGAACCAGAUAUACUAGACACAAGGUUGAUGGAGUAGCUCUCCUAAAGCAGAUUUGUUAAUUUUCUUAAUUAAAAGAAGAAUUAAAUAAACAUUAAAAAGAUUUAAUCAAUUUAAAUUAAUGUGUAAGAUGAAAUAAAACAAAUUUUCUUUCAUAUGUUAAAAAAAAUUUUCUUUCAUAUGAU